UGCAAGUCGACGGAAAGGCCCGCUUGCGGGUACUCGAGUGGCGAACGGGUGAGUAACACGUGGGUGAUCUGCCCUGGACUCUGGGAUAAGCCUGGGAAACUGGGUCUAAUACCGGAUAUGACCUUACAUCGCAUGGUGUUUGGUGGAAAGCUUUUGCGGUUCAGGAUGGGCCCGCGGCCUAUCAGCUUGUUGGUGGGGUAAUGGCCUACCAAGGCGACGACGGGUAGCCGACCUGAGAGGGUGAUCGGCCACACUGGGACUGAGACACGGCCCAGACUCCUACGGGAGGCAGCAGUGGGGAAUAUUGCACAAUGGGCGCAAGCCUGAUGCAGCGACGCCGCGUGAGGGAUGACGGCCUUCGGGUUGUAAACCUCUUUCACCAGGGACGAAGCGCAAGUGACGGUACCUGGAGAAGAAGCACCGGCCAACUACGUGCCAGCAGCCGCGGUAAUACGUAGGGUGCGAGCGUUGUCCGGAAUUACUGGGCGUAAAGAGCUCGUAGGCGGUUUGUCGCGUCGUCUGUGAAAUUCUGCAACUCAAUUGUAGGCGUGCAGGCGAUACGGGCAGACUUGAGUACUACAGGGGAGACUGGAAUUCCUGGUGUAGCGGUGAAAUGCGCAGAUAUCAGGAGGAACACCGGUGGCGAAGGCGGGUCUCUGGGUAGUAACUGACGCUGAGGAGCGAAAGCGUGGGUAGCGAACAGGAUUAGAUACCCUGGUAGUCCACGCCGUAAACGGUGGGGUACUAGGUGUGGGGGCUCAUUUCACGAGUUCCGUGCCGUAGCUAACGCAUUAAGUACCCCGCCUGGGGAGUACGGCCGCAAGGCCUAAAACUCAAAGGGAAUUGACCGGGGCCCCGCACAAGGCGGGCGGAACCAUGUGGGAUUAAAUUUCCAUGCCAACGCGGAAGAAACCUUAACCUGGGGUUUUGACAUACAACCCCGAAAAGCUGUUAAAG
rnacentral:rRNA from 1 species